UUAUCUAUCAGAGAAUAUGUGACUAUUCAACACAUCUUGACAUCAUUCAGUGAAAGUUCAUAGUAUUUAUGGAGUGAGGAAAGGUUUCCAAUGUUCUUCACUAUGAAAUUGGUUUGCCAUGAGACCAAUACAACAGCCAGGCCGGCCUCAAAAAUCAAGUUAUCAAUCAGGAUGUAGUUUAAGCAUAAAUUAGGGACUGUAUGAAAAUAAUCAUGUGAGGGGGGGUUUAAUUUUACAUUUCACUUUUAAAAAAAAACCCCAAAAAACAAAAACAUUUCCAGUAUGACACUUCCUAUUGACUUGAAAAACAGCAGUCUUCUCCUACCAUCUGAAAACACAGGACCGAGUUAGUGUAACUCGUAUCUCCUUUACUAAAUAAAAAGUAAAGCGUACAGAAUUUAAGACUCUAUUACUAUUGCAUAACAGUUCCAAAAAAAAAAAAAAAAAGAAAAUUAUGAAUAUUCCAGUUCCAAUAGAUCACGAGAUAACA